UACAGAGGGUGCAAGCGUUAAUCGGAAUUACUGGGCGUAAAGCGUGCGUAGGCGGUUGCGUAAGUCCGAUGUGAAAGCCCCGGGCUCAACCUGGGAAUUGCAUUUGAGACUGCGUAGCUAGGGUGCGGAAGAGGGAAGCGGAAUUUCCGGUGUAGCGGUGAAAUGCGUAGAUAUCGGAAGGAACACCAGUGGCGAAAGCGGCUUCCUGGUCCAGCACCGACGUUCAGGCACGAAAGCGUGGGGAGCAAACAGG
rnacentral:rRNA from 1 species